rnacentral:rRNA from 1 species
AAUUGGAGGGCAAGUCUGGUGCCAGCAGCCGCGGUAAUUCCAGCUCCAAUAGCGUAUAUUAAAGUUGUUGCAGUUAAAAAGCUCGUAGUUGAAUUUCGGGAUCAGCAGGUUGGUCGUGCCAAUGGUAUGAACUGGCCUUGCUGAUUCCUCCCUCUUGAUGAGCCGUAAUGCCAUUAAUUUGGUGUUGCGGGGAAUCAGGACUGUUACUUUGAAAAAAUUAGAGUGUUUAAAGCAGGCAAGCGCUUGAAUACAUUAGCAUGGAAUAAUGAAAUAGGACGUUUGAUCCUAUUUUGUUGGUUUCUAGGAUUGACGUAAUGAUUAAUAGGGAUAGUUGGGGGCAUUAGUAUUCAAUUGUCAGAGGUGAAAUUCUUGGAUUUAUUGAAGACUAACUACUGCGAAAGCAUUUGCCAAGGAUGUUUUCAUUAAUCAAGAACGAAAGUUAGGGGAUCGAAGACGAUCAGAUACCGUCGUAGUCUUAACCAUAAACUAUGCCGACUAGGGAUCGGAUGAUGUUAAUUUUUUAAUGACUCAUUCGGCGCCUUACGGGAAACCAAAGUGU